UACGUAGGGGGCUAGCGUUGUCCGGAAUCAUUGGGCGUAAAGCGCGUGUAGGCGGUCCGGUAGGUCCGCUGUGAAAGUCGGGGGCUCAACCCUCGGAUGCCGGUGGAUACUGUCGGGCUUGAGUACGGAAGAGGCGAGUGGAAUUCCCGGUGUAGCGGUGAAAUGCGCAGAUAUCGGGAGGAACACCUAUGGCGAAGGCAGCUCGCUGGGACGUUACUGACGCUGAGACGCGAAAGCGUGGGGAGCAAACAGG
rnacentral:rRNA from 1 species